CGGCGCACGGGUGAGUAACGCGUGGGUAAUCUGCCCUAAGGUCUGGGAUAACCCCGGGAAACCGGUGCUAAUACCGGAUAAGACCACGAUGACUUCGGUCGACGUGGGAAAAGGUGGCCUCUUCUUGAAAGCUAUCGCCAAAGGAUGAGCCCGCGUUUGAUUAGCUUGUUGGUGAGGUAACGGCUCACCAAGGCUCCGAUCAAUAGCUGGUCUGAGAGGAUGAUCAGCCACACUGGAACUGAGACACGGUCCAGACUCCUACGGGAGGCAGCAGUCGGGAAUAUUGGGCAAUGGGCGAAAGCCUGACCCAGCAACGCCGCGUGAAGGAUGAAGGCCUUCGGGUCGUAAACUUCUGUCGAGAGGGAAGAACGCGUGCGGGUGAAUAAUCCGUACGUCUGACGGUACCUCCAAAGGAAGCACCGGCUAACUCCGUGCCAGCAGCCGCGGUAAU
rnacentral:rRNA from 1 species